CCUACGGGUGGCAGCAGUAGGGAAUAUUGCUCAAUGGGGGAAACCCUGAAGCAGCAACGCCGCGUGGAGGAUGAAGGUUUUCGGAUUGUAAACUCCUUUUGUUAGAGAAGAUAAUGACGGUAUCUAACGAAUAAGCACCGGCUAACUCCGUGCCAGCAGCCGCGGUAAUACGGAGGAUGCUAGCGUUACUCGGAAUCACUGGGCGUAAAGAGCGCGUAGGCGGGUUAGCAAGUCAGAUGAGAAAUCUUAUGGAGUAACCAUAGAACCGAAGUUGAAACUGUUAUUCUAGAGGAUAGGAGAGGCAGGAUGAAUGCGUGGGGGAGCGGUGAAAGGAAUAGAGACCACGCAGAACUCAGAG
rnacentral:rRNA from 1 species